GACUUGAGUCCUGGUGUUGGAGGAGAGAGGAGCUUGUUCAGCCCAGUCUGGAGUGGCAUGCUCUUCUUGGUUCAGCCCAAAGACACAGGCUUCUAAAGAUGAUGAUUUUGGGUUCCAGAGAGACAAAGUGACUUUUCUGGACAUCACAUAAAGAGUAAGUGGAAGAACUGCGUUGUGGAGUGGCUGGAGUAGUAGAUGUGAAAUCAGAAGACCUGAGUUCAAAUUAUGCUGCAGACAAUAACCAUGUGACCCUGGGUAAGUAAUUUCACCUCUUGUGACUUAAUUUCAUUAUUUGUAAAAUGGGGAUUAUAAUAGCACCUACCCUAAAUC
rnacentral:lncRNA from 1 species